UAGGUACUCCUUCCGUUUCAAAUUACUUGUCGCAACUAUUGAUGUAUCUAGAUGUAUUUUACUUUUAUAUACAUCUAUUUCUGCGACGAGUAAUUUGAAACGGAGGGGCUACUAU
rnacentral:pre_miRNA from 1 species